CCCAGCUUGAAGUAACAAUUUCAUUCCUAAUUGGAGCAAUUUUCUCCGGCUGGUUGCAGUUUAAAAAUGAUUUCCUUCUCGACUGUUGGUUUCGUGAUCCUCGUAUUAGUUGCAAAUGGCCUGAAAGCAAGGCAAGAGUUCGACAAAAUCGAAAAAUUGAUUUCAAGUUUACCCAAAUCGGAUGAGAGUGAUGAAGAUAUGACUCCUGAAAUGAAUGAAUUUCUGAAGUACAUUGGAAAGAAGGAGAUUGAAUCUUACAAAGAUUAC